UGGAAGGUAAAAAUCGUAACAAGGUUUCCGUAGGUGAACCUGCGGAAGGAUCAUUAGUGAACAUAGGACGUCCAACUUAACUUGGAGUCCGAACUCUCACUUUCUAACCCUGUGCAUUUGUUUGGGGUAGUAGCCUCUCGGGGCGAAUCCCUAUUCACUUAUAAACACAAAGUCUAUGAAUGUAUUUAAUUUUAUAACAAAAUAAAACUUUCAACAACGGAUCUCUUGGCUCUCGCAUCGAUGAAGAACGCAGCGAAAUGCGAUAAGUAAUGUGAAUUGCAGAAUUCAGUGAAUCAUCGAAUCUUUGAACGCACCUUGCGCUCCAUGGUAUUCCGUGGAGCAUGCCUGUUUGAGUGUCAUGAAUACUUCAACCCUCCUCUUUCUUUAUGAUCGAAGAGGUGUUUGGAUUCUGAGCGUUUUGCUGGCCUCACGGUCGAGCUCGCUCGUAAUGCAUUAGCAUCCGCAAUCGAACUUCGGAUUGACUUGGCGUAAUAGACUAUUCGCUGAGGAAUUCUAGUCUUCGGACUAGAGCCGGGUUGGAUUAAAGGAAGCUCCUAAUCCUAAUGUCUAUUUUAAGAUUAGAUCUCAAAUCAGGUAGGACUACCCGCUGAACUUAAGCAUAUCAAUAAGCGGAGGAA
rnacentral:rRNA from 1 species